rnacentral:tRNA from 1 species
GCCUUUGAGGUGUAGUGGUCAGCAUGCUCGACGUAUAUUAGAGAAGUCCGUGGUUCGAGUCCCGGCGAGAGCA